GUACACGCUGUGACUAGCAUAUCAAUAAGCGGAGGAAAAGAAACUAACAAGGAUUCCCCUAGUAACGGCGAGUGAAGCGGGAAGAGCUCAAAUUUGAAAUCUUAAAGGGUUUCCCUUUACGAAUUGUAGUUUAAAGAAGUGUUUUCUGUUGAGGUUUUGGUAAAAGUUCUUUGGAAUAGGACAUCAUAGAGGGUGAGAAUCCCGUAUUUGACCUUUACUUUCAACUUUGUGAUACACUUUCAAAGAGUCGGAUUGUUUGGGAAUGCAGUCCAAAAUGGGUGGUAAAUUUCAUCUAAAGCUAAAUAUUGGCGAGAGACCGAUAGCGAACAAGUACCGUGAGGGAAGGAUGAAAAGAACUUUGAAAAGAGAGUUAAACAGUACGUGAGAUUGUCAAAAGGGAAGCGUUUGACACCAGUGUUGUUUUUCUGAAAAUCAAUUAAGGAACUGUUUAUGCUAAGCUGUUUAGACUUUAUCAGCUAUACUGUUUAGUUUUGAGCUUUUCUUUAAUGCACUUUUCAGUUAACAAGUCAACAUCAAUUUCUUUUGCUGUAAAAAAGCUUGAGGAAGGUGGCUUGAGAUUCGUCUUAAGUGUUUAUAGCCUCUUGCCUAUGCAGUCGGAGAGAUUGAGGUCUGCAGCGUAGAUCCUUCGGGGCUAAAUGCAUUUGUGCUAAGUUAUAGCAUUUUAUAGACAACUUGUUGACUAUGAUUUGUCUUGUAGCUUACUCGCUUAUGUUAUUUUACCUACGCUUAGGAUGUUGAGUCGUAGAGCACGCA
rnacentral:rRNA from 1 species